CUCAGGGCACCGGCAAGAUGUGGAGAGCUGGAUUGCGGUGCCGGCGCGAUCCCGGGCCGAGUCCCGGAGCAUGCGCGGCGGGCCGGGCGUCGCUAGGCUACCUCACGCGCUUCGCCCUGCGAGGGAGACCUUCCAUCUGAUGGUUCACUCUCCAAACACCUGGGUGUCAAGAACUGAAUUCCCGUCUCUCAUGAGGAGGGUUUGACUACCUGCUGCCUCCCAGCAUGCACAGCAGCAAGGAGCAGAGAUGAACCCAGAUGCCCCAGGAAAUUCCAGCAACAGCGCCCACCUACCUAAGCAAGCAUGAUGAGCAAGUUCCUGGACAUGGCCAACCUGCUUGUUCUGUUUCUGCUUCCUUCCACCUUUUCUGUGGACCAGCUGCCUCUGCUCAGCUCCUCAGAGCAUUCAUUCUAUUUUAUGGACUGAAAUGCUGCCCCAGUGUAGAAUAACCAAUAAAAAGCCAAUUAGAU